GAUGAACGCUGACAGAAUGCUUAACACAUCAGCAAUUGAUUGGUGGCGGACGGGUGAGUAACGCGUAAAGAACUUACCUCACAGUUAGGGACAACAUUUGGAAACGAAUGCUAAUACCUAAUACUGUGAGAGAGCUUUGCGUCCCAUUAGCUAGUUGGAGAGGUAACGGCUCACCAAGGCGAUGAUGGGUAGCCGCACUGAGAGGGUGAUCGGCCACAAGGGGAUUGAGGCACCACCCUUACUCCUUCGGGAGGCAGGGGUGGGGAAUAUUGGGAAAUAGGCCAAAGUCUGAUCCAGGAAUUCUGUGUGCACGAUGAAGUUUUCGGAAUGAAAAGUGCUUUGAGUUGGGAAGCGGUACCAACAGAAGAAGUGACGGCUAACUACGUGCCAGCAGCCGCGGUAAUAC
rnacentral:rRNA from 1 species